AAUGGUGAAGUCUCCUAGUGAUAAACCUCCAUGUGCAUUGCCUCCCCCAUUUGAACCUCAAGCCAUUCAAGCUUCUCUGGACGCAAAAGAGAAUAAAACUAUCCUCAAGCCAUUCAAGCUUCUCUGGACGCAAAAGAGAAUAAAACUAGGCAAAUGAAGACGUGGGAAACCGAGUAUUGGAAAAAAACUAAAACAUAAGAAGCAUUAGAUGGUUAGAAACCAAACCUCUUUAAUUAGUUUAGCCAAUUAAGAAAAUAUCAGUAUAUUCUAGGCUACAGCAGCUAAAGCUUGGUGUUUAUAUGUUACACAUAACUGUCUCAAAGUUCGAAGAGCUAUGGGAUCAUAUUAGCGAGUUGAAAUCUAGUAGCGAGAGGAGAGGACGGGCAGUUCAUAGUUUAAUUCUGGAACCUCUGAUUUUAAUGAUUUUAUUGAUCACUGUGAACUGUUGAAUUGGGCAAAAGAUUCUCCUGGUUUGGUGGAUGGCGUCAACUAUUUGGAGUGUAUGAUUAACGAGAAAUAUAGCUUUGGAAGGUAGAAGAAAUUAUUCAUUUGGCAAUACGUGGAGCUUUCCACUGGAUGGGGUGAUCUUAGCUGAAACUUGGUGGUGGCAGAGUGUGUAAGGGUUAACUCGAUGGGGAGGAGCUCCUCAGUUGGGCUGCUAGAAAUUUAAGGUGGAUGCGUCGGAGUCAUGGAACUAGGUUGUGCAAGGGUAAAAGGUGUACUCCGUCCGUGAUCAUGUUGUGUGGUUGGCACACUAGAAUUUUUUGGUGAUUAGCUCCUUGUUUAUGGUAUUUUUCACUGUUUCUUAUCUCUUGUUCAGUUUUCAUUUUGCUUGUAUAGCUAAUAGGUAUUCUUUUCGAAGGUUAAAAUAUAAAAUUUUAUUGUUUAGUUUACAGAAUGUAAAAGGAGUGAAAAAAAGUUGUUAAAUUUUACUGAGUUAACUAUAAAAAUAUAGAAAAAAAAUAUAUAUUAAAUAUUAAAUUUUGUGAACUAAUAAAUGUUUAAUAAUUAAAAUUUCACUUAAAAUAAUUAAUUGGAUAAAUCGAUAUGGUUUAAAUUAUGUUUCUGUCAAUAAACUCUAAAAUAUUAUGAUAUGGCCACUAAUAUUAUCAAUUUGUUAUAUUUUAAGCAUUGAACUAUAUUAGUGUAACGGAAAGUUGACAUGAUAUAUUAUUAUGUUAUACGAAAAUUUUAAAUUAAAUUGCACAAUUAGUCUCUGCUUUUAAUUUUUAAAAAUAUUCAUAUUUGAUAAUGAUAAUUGUGACAUAUAUUUGGGUAUAAGAAAUUAGAAAUAAUAUUUUGAAAACAUAUUUGUACUCUCAUGUAACAUAAAUUAUUAUUUUUCACUAAAGUUACUGCAUAUUAUAAUUUUCUAGUAAUGGAAAAAAGAGAGGAGGAAAACUUCAUUUAAGAAAGCCAAGCACCAUAGCAAACUCCUCCAAAUCCACUCCAUCUUACGGGAACUACAUUUUCUGUGAAUACAAGAUGCCUGUUUCAUACAAUAUAACCAGCGAUGGAAGUCUAUAUUAGUAGGUCAUGUCAAGGUCCACCUGAAACUCGCACCUAUUCUUGCACACAUUAUGAAACUGAGUCCAUCACUAAAUAUUUCUAUUGAGCAACCUUCACACCACCUCACUCAUACAGUACACAGAUGAUGAGGCCACGGGACAACUUGCUAAGGAUUGGGAGCCUAAUUACCUAAUGUACUACUGUUUGCUAAAUUUGCUUCUACCAGAAAAAAAGAAAGAAGGCCAAGCACCAUGCGUUACAUAUAUAAAUAAACUCUAUCUAAUAAUAAUAAUAAUAAUAAUUUUUUUUUCUCUAUUAUAUAAAAAGAUUCUAUAGACAUAGGGGAUUCAUUUUUUUUCUCUAUUACUGGACCAGACGAUUAUAUAAUAAGAUUUUACAUACAUCUCGAUUUUUUCUUCUCUAUUACUAAACUAAAAUCUCCUCUAUCAUGAUGUAUUGAUACAGCGUAUUAACAAUAAUAAUAAUAUAGAAGAAACAAAAAGGGACAACAAAAACGACAGUAGAGCAUGAGUCAUCAUCACCACGAAAAGAAAAGUCCUACAUUGUCUAAUACUUACGGGGGAAAAUUAACAUGAGAAAAUGGUAAUUAAUUAACAAAAGUGCUUUUACACCCUGUUUUCGUCAUCCUUCUUCUAGCAGAUCCCAAAGCAAUCUAAUCAACGAAUAAAAAAAAAGCAGUCAUAUUCUCGGCUUUUCUAUAACUUUUUAUUAUUUAUGAAAAUAUCCAUUUUAAAAAUUAUGUAUGUAAAUGAUUCAUUUUAAACAGUAAAUGUUAGUGAUGUCAUUUCUAUUAGUGUCACCACCUCCAACUUAAAAAAAAAAAACAAUUUUUUUAGAUGCCGCCAUUGUCAUUGACGGUGAAGUAUGAUUAUAUAAAACAUUUAGGGCCUGAUGAAAUAAUUAUCCUUUUAAAUUGGAUGAAAAUACAAAUGCUUUUAUACUUUUGGUCUAUUUGCAUGUUAAGUCUUUUCUCUUUUAAAAUUAAAUUGAAAUAACCUUUAAAAAAUAUUAAAAACAAUAAUCUUAAAAAAAUAUAUAAAAAUCUUAUUUAAAUUAUCCAAUAUAUCCCUAAAAAAAUUUCCUGAAAUAAAAAAGUAAGAAUUUAAAGCUUGAGAAGGAUAUAUUUAGGUAAUUUAAAAAAGGUUUUCUUUUUCUUCCUCACAUCGCUCUGCUUUUUCGUCUAACCAAAUCCUUUGACUUUUCCCUUCUAAGAAAAGCUGAUUCAACUGUGCAAGUGGGGAUGAGACUUGUAAUUGUAGUUUGUAUGAGGUUCACAAAAUUUGGGAUGAGGAUGCAUAGUCCCUUCUCGUCCAGUGAUUAUGCAAAACCAAGUUUGACUGUUAGAUAAUAUCCUAUCUCAAUUUUCUCUUCAUAGGCCUAAAAUUAAUAAUAGCUGAAAUUUUAGGUUCAUAAAAACUGGGAUCAUGAUGCAUAGUCCCUUCUCGUCCAGUGAUUAUGCAAAAACAAAUUUGACUGUUAGAUAAUAUCCUACCUCAAUUUUCUCCUCAUAGGCCUAAAAUUAAUAAUUAGAUCUUUAUUUUUGUAAUUGAGUAAUGUUUUAUAAUUAAAUAAUGUCUUGUGUAAGCAGUAAAGAAUUAUAAUAAUUUGUAUAAUUGAACCUCCCUAAAAACUCACCCUCCAUCCUUAUAAUUAAAAACUCGACCUAAAAACCCAACCCUCUAAUUCAUCAUCCUUAUUGCCUUUAAAAAAAUAUAAAAUUUAGAUUUAAAUAUGAUAAAAGUCCAUAUAAGUUUUAAUUUUGGAAUAUCGACUCUCUAUACUUGCAAUGAUUUAUUAAUCUUGAUCUAAUUAUUGAUGACACCAUCUAAAUUUGUAGUUAAUAACAAUAACUAUAGAAAAGGCAAAAUAAUCUUUUUAGCCCUCUACAUUUUUUUAAAAUUUGUUCCUUACAUUUUAAAAUAAGAAAUUAAAAACUCAAAAUUUUUAAUUUUUUUUUAUAUUUUUAAAAAAUUCAUGAUUUUUGGAGAUAUAAAAAAAUUAUGGAAGAUUCUUUUUUAAAAUUAAAGAUUUAAAAACAAGAAUUUUCAACAAGUUUUUCAUAUUUUCAAAAAAAUCCUUAAAAAAGUAUAAUUUUCCAAAACUUAUGAAAAAUUUUAAAAUUUUAAAAAUAAAAAUAAAAAUAAAAAUACAUAUAAUUUUUUUAAAAUCAAUAAAUUAAAAAUAUAUAAUAAAUUUAAAAAUAAUUUUUAAAAAAUAAAAAAUGAGUGCCAAGAAGUUAUUUUUACUUUUUAUAAUUGCCACAUGGAUAAUGAAAUUUUUGGGUGGUGUAUUAAUGAGACCAAAAUUAUUAAAUCCUUAAAAUAAUUAAACAUUUUAAAAUUUUAUAAAUUAUAUAUUUUAGAUAAAAUUAAAAAUUAAAAAAAUAAAAAUAAUUAAACAUUUUAGAAAUUUAAAAAUAUAUAAAUUUUAAAAAAUAAAAAUUAUAAAAAAAUUUAAUCUUUUAGAAAAAGUUGGUUAAACUUUAGAAAAUUAAAAAAAUAUUGAAAAAAAACCUCAUAUAUAUUCUAAAGAAAUUUAAAAAUAAAUUAAAAGUGACUGAGAUUGAAAGUUGUUCAACAUUGACCUGUAUUGAAUGAAUGUUGAUCGACAAUAAAUGGUUGUCGAUCAAAGUCUAGUAAAUAUUCAAUCAACAUCAGUCAAUUGGUCAAAUGCCCGAUAAACUUUUAAUUUAUUUUAAAAUUUAAAUUUCUUUUGAAUGUAUUAGAUUUUUUUUUGAAUUUUUAAAAAGUUCAUCUAAAUAUAUAUUUUUAAAAAAUUAACUAAUCUUUUUCCUAAUUUUUUUUAUAAAUUUUAUUUUUUUAGAAUUUAUAUAUCUAUUUUUGUAAUUUCUAAAAUUUUUAAUACUUUUGAAAUAUAUAUAGGAUUUUUAGAAUUUUUAAAAAUAUAUUUAAAAGAAUUACAUUUUAAAUCAUUUUCAAAAUUAUAAUUUUUAUUUAUGUGUAUACAUAUGAAAUUUUAGAAAUUUUUUUAAAAAAAAUUACAUAUUUUUGAAGUAUUUUAAUCGACGUGGAUGUGAUGUACUGAUGUUAUGUUGACAUAGACAAAAAAAUAAACCACAUGGCAUGCUGUUGUAGGCGGGCAUGACCUUUGAGGGUUUUCUAAUAACGCCGUUAACUGGAGGAAUGAAAGAAGUGAAAAAAAAUGUUAAAUGUGGUUAGAUUAGAAGCAUAUUUAAACCUUGUUAAAGUCUCUGUCAAUGUUUCAUCAUCUUUAUUGACACUUCCAGACACCUCAAAAAGUCAUUAGUUAUGGUCUUCGGAAUUGAAUUUUCAGCAAUAGAAGUUACAAGUCAUGAAUUACAUCUAAUAUUUUUCAAAUAAAUUUAAGCCCAUAUUUUCCCCUCAAGGCACGUUGUAAUAUAAAAAACACUGCUGCUUUGCUUACUUUUGACCUUGUGUUCUUUUUUUCCCCAAGUUUUUACCAGCUGAUCAUCUACCCCAGUUUUUGAGCUCCAUCUCAAGGAAUCCAACAGUUUCCAUGGCGGAGCAUGUUCAUGCUGACCAUGCGAUUCAUGGUUGCUUCUCCAAGGUUGAUGUUGGACGCCUCAGGGGAUUCGUCUCUACAACUACCAUCUUCGUCUUCUUCUUCUUCCUCCUUGCUAUUGCUGCUCUGCUUAAUUGGAUGAAUUUUGUAAGUCUCCCCCCCAAAACUGUUGCGUACUCCAUUACUUUAAUCAUUUUUAAUGAAUAUAAUCCCAGGAAAAACAAUCAAGCAUUAUUAUAGACAUGUAUAUAAUUAUAAUUAAACAGAUUAUUUCUAAAAUUUAUAAUAUGACCAAUUUUUUUAUUAUAAUUUAUAAAAAAAGCCUAAUUUGAUAAUUGAAUUGAAUUUUAAGAAUCCAAAUUACAAUUUACAUCCAUCCAUCCAUCGUCUUUGUCGACAUGUGUAUUAGACGAAUGUCUAACGUAAUUUGUUCAUAUAAUUAUUUUUAGAAAUACCAUAAAAAAGAAUAUUUACGAUACAUAUUUAUAGUUAAGAAAAUGAUUUAAUCUACUCAUGAUGUUUUGAGAUUUCACAAAUAAGGUAUAUCCCUUUAGAGUGGAAUAAAAAAAUAAAAAUAAAAAUAAAAAUAAAAUUUUUAACCGAAACUGAAAUUUUUCAAUAUCAGACUAUCAAAUACUAAGCAGCAUCAAAUUUUCAUGAAAAAUUGAUUCAAAGAUUUUUUUUUUUUGGGGGUUGGGGUCAACUUGUUUCUCAGCCUAUCAUAGGUGGCACUCCACCACCACCACCACCACCACUAAGCUCUGAAAUUCGUCAUGAGAAGGUUGAAUUUCCUCUCAACUGUUCUAAUUUAGUUAACCAUACGACGGUGUUUGAGCCCAAAGAAUCAUCCACUAAUAAAACUUGCCCAGACUAUUUCCGGUGGAUCCACCAAGACUUAAAGCAAUGGAAAAGUUCGGGAAUUACAAAGGACAUGAUUGAAAGGGGAAAACCCAUUGCGGAUUUCAGACUCGUCAUUGUCAAUGGAGAGGCUUAUGUGGAGAGGUACAUCAGGUCAUUUCAAACCAGGGAUCUGUUUACAAUAUGGGGUAUUUUGCAGCUUCUAAGGUUGUACCCUGGAAAAGUACCAGAUUUAGACCUUUUCUUCUAUUGUGGGGACAACACUGUAAUCAUGAAAAGUGACUACAAAGGACGCUAUGCUGCAUUAGCACCGCCAGUGUUUCAUUACUGUGGAGAGGAGGCAGCACUGGAUAUUGUGUUCCCUGAUUGGUCCUUUUGGGGAUGGUAAUUUCUGCUACAUCAUUAACGACUUGCACUAUAGUAUUAGAGUUGGAUUGAUCUACAAACCCUGUUAUUCGAUAAUAAUAAAAAGAUUCUCAUGCCUCAACUUAUAGUACCACAACAAAUUGCUAAUGAAGAAAAAGAUUGCCAUAUGUUAAAUAUUUACACAGGUAAUGAUAUUUAGUUUGCUUUGUUGUGGCAGGGUAGAGGUUAAUAUAAAGCCAUGGGAGGAGCAAUUGAGGGCAAUAAAGAAAGAGAGGGAGAGGAUCAAGUGGGAAAAGAGGGAACCUUAUGCCUACUGGAAGGGUAACCCAACUUCUCCAGAUAGGGGAGAUCUUUUGAACUGCAACGUUUCAGAUAAACACGACUGGAAUGCUCGGCUUUAUGUGCAGGUAAUUCCUGAAAAAUUAUGUUUCUUCUUUGAUGGGGGCAGGGCCAAGCCAAAUGGGUAACUCUUGUUAUUAAUUCAGGAUUGGGCUAAAGAAAUCCAAGAAGGUUUCAAGCAUUCUAAAUUGGAAGAUCAAUGCACCCAUAGGUAUAUACGAUCACCUUUUUCUUCCCAUUUUAAACAACUUUCACCCUAAUGACAUUUUUAACUUUGUUGCGGUACAAUCAAUAUCAAAGAUAUAAAAUUUAUAUAGAAGGAAGGACGUGGUCCGUAAGUGAGAAAUACAUACUGGCAUGCGAUAGCAUGACCUUGCUGGUAAACCCUAAAUACUAUGAUUUCUUCUCGAGAAGCAUGAUGCCGAUGCAGCAUUUCUGGCCUAUCAGCAAUGAAAACAAAUGCAGAGAUCUUAAGUUUGCAGUUGAAUGGGGCAAUAAUCACACUCACAAGGUGCUAAUUUUCAGCAAAUGAAAACAUGGAUUGCAACGAAUUCAAUCAUUUAGUUAUCAUAAGAAAUAUAUACACCCUUGCCUGAAUUUCAUUCCAUAAAUUUGCAGGCAGAGGCCAUAGGGAAAGCAGGAAGCAAAUUUAUUGAAGAGGCUUUGACAAUGCAAAACGUGUAUGAUUACAUGUUCCAUUUGUUGAACGAAUACUCUAAACUCUUGAAGUUUAAACCGACAAUACCUCCAAAUGCCCGAAGGCUCUGUUCCGAAACCACAGAGCAAGGCCUAUUGAAGGAGUUCAUGGUGCAGUCGAUGGUGAAGUCUCCUAGUGAUAAACUUCCAUGUACAUUGCCUCCCCCAUUUAAGCCUCAAGCCAUUCAAGCUUCUCUCAAGGCAAAAGACAAAAUAGCUAGACAAGUGGAGACGUGGGAGACUGAAUAUUGGAAAAAACUAAAAGCAUAAGCAGCAUUAGAUAGCUAGAAACCAAACCUCUCUUUCUCGUUUAGUUUUCAUAAACUUCAAUUAGUUUUCAUAAACUUCAAUUAGUUUAGCCAAUUAAGAGAAUAAAUAUUCCACACUACAGUUUGGUGCUUGUUAGCCAAAGUAGCUUCCGCCUUUUUCUUUUUAAAACUACAAGCAGUUAGUCUACAUAAAUACCUAUUUUUUGAAUAGUUUUUACUUAGGGAUAAAAUUCCGAGUCAAAUCUUAUUAUUAUUUUCAUUAUGUGUAUGUAAUUUUUUAUUGUCAUCAAAUUCAAUUGAUAGAUGACAUUAACUCAAUCUGACGGAAGUAGAAUGCUUACGUGGGGGAAUACUUCAAUUUGAUACAAGGAUGGGCCUGAUCCGUCAGCCCAAUGCAUAUUUCUGGAAUGUGAUCCAGUGACUUUAUUUUAUAUAUAUAUAAGGCCUUUGUUUGUAUGACUUCUUAAUCAAGGACAUGGUGCCAUUGCGGUGUUGGGCACUACAGAAAACAACAAGUGUUGCGGUGGAAUUGGGUAACCCACCCUUAUCCUACUAACAAGUUUGGUUUUCUAAAUUCUCAAAUUUGGAUAGCAUUUUCCGUCACCAGCCAUAGGAAUGGCUGUCCGCAAAUUCGUACAAAGCGAUCUAUUACUGUAAUGUAUAUGAUUACAUGUGAUCCGCUUAUCAAAUGAGGAGUAAUGGCAUGCUCGCAACCUUGUAAAUGGAAAAAGAAAUUAUGAUACAUGUCCCGUGGUGAUUGGACUUUCCAUUAUUAAUCGAAAUUUUAGACUCUAAAAAUAAAUACAAAUAAAAGUACAAUAUGUCAAUUAAGUUUUAACUCGGUUGGUAUGAGUUUAAGUACAUUGAAGCACAUUAUCUUCUAUUUUAUAAAUUGAGGAGGGGCUAUAAGUAUUAUAUCAAAAAGAGCAGAUAUGAUUAAAACUUAUAAUGAAAUUAUAUAAAAUAAUAAUAAUAAAAUAAAAGUACAACAUAUGCCAUAAAUAGAGGUUGGGCCGAGUUUGAGUCUAGCCUAUGCAAGGUAUUUAGAUCAAAUUUUCAAGUCCGGAUUUGACUCGGCCCGAAAAAUAGGCUUUUUUUUUUGCCUAAGUCCAGCCUAAUUUAAGAAAAGUAAAUCUAGGUCUGGCCCAACCCACCCAUACUUAAUUUUUUAGAUUAGUUUUUAUUUAAAAAUAUUUUAAAAAAAUAUAUAUAAUGCUCUAAAAAAAGGCUAAAAUAAAAAUUUUCUUACACACUAAAAAUUCUUUAUAUUAAAAAAACACUACCAUCGAUAUAAUAAAUAUUUUAUUGUAGUAAAUAUAAAUUUUAAAAAUUUACAUUUUGGGUUGGGUUAUUUAGUUGAAUUUUUUUUUUUAGAUUUUGGAUAAUGAGUUUAAUUGUUAUUAAGUUAGUGAUUUAAUAUAAAUAUAAAAAUAUAUAUAAUUAAGGCUCAAGUUAAAAAAAUAAUUGCCCAAGGCUUGACCCAUAUAAAAAAUGGGCCUUAGAUUUUAUCCAAGUCUAUUUUUCGGCCUCGUAUUUUGUCAAAAUCCUUUUUUUUUCUAACAGACCUUCGAGCCUAGAUAGAUAGUCCGAUUCAUAAACAAGUCUAAUUACAAAUUAUUAACUUCUUUUAAAUUAUUAAUUAUAGCAUAUAAUUACCAUUUGGAUGAUAUAAUCUCUCAAUUUUUUAUUGAUAGAAUUAAAAAAUUAGGAUAAUUAUUUAAUACAUUAGAAUGGAAACUGGACCUAUUUAUUGUUAAAAUGUUUAAAUAUAACUGACAAAAAUAAUUAUUCAAAAAAGUUAAAUCAGUAUUUCUUCAUCUUUGUCCCCUCCUCUUGCCUGAGAAAAAUCAAUAGCUUAUGGUUUACGGAAUUUAAUUCAGUGAUGAAAGUCAAAUCGUAACACUGCUGCUUGAUUUUGACCUUGUUCUUUUCUCCAAGUUUUCACUACCUGAUCAUCUCAGUUUUGCAGCUCCAUCUCCACUUUAUACGCUUGAAUUACAGGUAUAUGAUGAUCUUCGUUUUUUUUUUCUUCUAUUUCUGUAUAUGAUUAAUGAUUACUCUCAUACAACAAGAUCAGACUAUGUUUUACAUGCACGAUCAAGUUUUUCAAUUCUUAAUGAUUUUAGAGAUUGUUCUUUGAUUUGUUUUGUGAAUAUGUAUGAUAGAAGUCUCCUUCAAACGUGUUGAAUCAUAAAUAUUUCUUGAGUCUUUGAAUAACGUUAACAUAGAUUGGUUUUGCCCAAACAUUUAUUUCUAUGGUUUAAUAAUAGUAGUGGUUUCAAAUAUAAUUAAAAAGCUAGGACUGUAUCCACGUCAACUAAAGUCUCUACAAGCAAAAGUUAACCCUCCAAAUUGAAUCGGGUUGAAUAUGCAUGCCAACUCAUUAAUUAGUCAAAAUAAAUAUUUAAGGCAAUUUAUAAUGUCUUGCCUUAUAGGGAGGAUAUGCAUUUAUAUGUAUAUAUACCAAGGCAUUGAAGCAGGAAUAGGGCUGUGGGGGAGCUUGGGAAAUACGGUUUCCAUGGCGGAUCGUGUUCAAAUAUUUCAAGGGGUUAGGGCUUACGGUGAUGAAGUCAUUCAUGGCUGCUUUUCAAAGGUUGGUGUUGGACGCCUCAAGGGAUUGGUCUCAACAACUACUACCUUCAUAUUCUUCUUCUUCCUCCUUAUUGCUGCUCUGCUUAACCGGAUGGAAAUUGUAAGUCUCCCUCAAAACCUGUUGCUUUCCUUCAUCAUUUCACUUUUUUUUUUUAAAUCAUUUUUUAAUAGGAUGAAAAGUACUAAAAAAACCCUUCAUCAAUUCAACCUUUAAUCCAAAAAUAAGCUCUUUGAAUUGUCAUUUUCGUUAAAAUCAACAUGGCGGGUGACGUGAUGGCUAAGCGUGGAUGGUUUAAUUUUUUUUUAGGAUAGCUUAAUUGAUUUUUAAUUAUUUUAGGAGAGUUUAAUUGAUUUUUAGGGAUUAUAUAAAAAUUUUCAACAAAUUAUAUUUAAUUAUUUAAUAUUAUAGAAUUAUAGAAAAUUAUAUAAAUAUAAUUAAAAUGAUAAAAAUUCUAUAAAAUUAAUAAAAAAUUAUAAAAACUUAUUGAAAGUAUAAAAAUUUGUAAAAAAAAAUAAAAAAUAAAUAUAUGUAUAAGAAAAUUAUAGUUUUUUUUAAGGUUUGGAUUAGAUUUUAAUGGAGGAGCUUUAAGUCUGAUGAUAAUUUGAUUUGGAUGGGGUCUCGAGUAAAGGAUCUUAGAAAUAAUGGAUUUAGUAUUUGGUGGUUUAAAGUGAGUGAUAAGUUUUAGUUGAGGAUAGGUAAUCGAUGCACCUUGAUAAGGUGAAAAAACAAAAAAUGAGUAGUAAUUUUUAUUAAAAAGUUUUAAAAAUUAGUAGAAAUUACUAAAAAAAUCAAUUAAGCCCUCAAUGUCAUCGUUUUUCCACGUCAUCCGCCAUGUCAGCACUUAAUGGUCCGUCAGGGGCCUUAAUAGAAAUGACAAUGCAGAGGACCCAAUUGAUUGUUAUUUUUGAAGUAAUAUUCUAAUUGCGUACACUUUUUAAGUAGGGGUCCAAUUGAUUUUCGAGGAGUUUUUUCAUUACUUUUAACUUUUUAAUAAAUAAAAUUUUGAGGGAAAAAAUAACUUAAUAAUUAAAUUAACUGUCAAAUUAUAAAAUUCAUCUUUUUAUUUUACUGAAAUAAAUAAAUUAAACCCUUUAAUUUUUUUAUUUUAAUUUGUCAAAAUUCGAUCUUUUCACUUUAUGAAAAUUAAAAAUUUGGUCUAUUUAUUAAUAAACAUGUGAACUUGAUUGGUUGGUUUUUAAAUAAGUGUUGAAUGUUUUUGUGUAUUCUUUUUCACCAAUUAUACUAAAAGAAUUAGUUUAUUUAUUUUUAUAAAAUAAAGGGUAAAAUUCAUUAUUAAAUUUUAAAAACACAAAUUUGCAAUGAUAAUUAGUAAGGUAUAGUAAUCGAUUUAAUCGGUUGGUUCGAUCAAUUUUUUUUCGAAUCGACUUAACUAAUUUUAAUAUGAGAAAAUUGAUCCGACCAACUUUAAUUGAACAAACCGGUCAAACCAAACUAACAUUGAUUUGGUCAAUUCAGUCGAAUUUUUAGUUAACAAAUUCGAAUUUUGUUGGUUAAGUUUAAAAUUAUUGAGUUGAGUUUAUAUGAUAAAAUAUUUAUUAUAUAUUACAUAAAAUAAAUAUAGUUUAAAUAAUUAGAAAAUAUUAUAAAAUAAGUCCCUACCCAACUAAAUAAAAAUAAAAAUAUUCUGUUGUGUUAAUUUUUUCGAUUUUUCAGUUAAAAUUGAGUAUUACUUCCCUAGUAAUUACCACAUAUAUAUUUGUUGAAAUAAUUAAUUUUUUAAAAAAAGUUACAAAUUUGAAUUUUUAAAAAAAUAUAUUCAUUAGUACAAUUAUAGUAUAUAUUAAGUGACUGAUUGAGUUAGUGUUAUUUAUUAAUUGGUUUCAUCUCAGUUAUAAAAUUAUCAAAUUAACCAAUCAUUUUACAAAGUAAUAAAUGUGGUGUGAGGGCUUUUUUUUCUUUUCUUUUCUUUUUGUGAUAAAUAAGAGAAUAAAGAAACAAAAUUACAAAACACAAUUCAAACCCCUUAGCGGAGAAGUUUCAAAAAUUUGCAACCCUUGCUCAUUUAUGUGAGCCAACUUUGUCAAUCCGUUAGCUUCUUGAUUCUUUUCUCUAGGACCAAUAUUGAGUCUGUGCUAGCAGUUAAAGUGAGUCCAUCUGAUUAGUCUCUUGGAUGGCACUAGCCACUUCAAUAAAAAUAAUUUUACAUAAAAACAUAUCUAUAAUAGUAUUUGAACAAUAUUUUAAUUUUACCAUUUUACUGAAUUGUUUUUAUAUAAAGUUUUAGGAAAUAUAUUUAUUAAAUAAAUUUUUUGACAGUAUAUAUCAUAAUUAUUUUGUACAACUUUACAAAUAAAAUUGAGUUUGUACCAUGGGUCUAUAACUCGUAUUUAAAAUUUUAAAAAUAAAUAAAUUAAAUGUGUAGCAAAAUCUCACUGAGUUCAAAAUAUGUAUACCAUUAGAUUUCCAUAUUUCGAAUUUUGAGAAUAACAGAAUAAUGCAAUUUUUUUUUUUUGUUUUUUUUGUUUUUUGAUCUACUUGUUUCUCAGCGGGGCACUUCAAUUGGACAGUCGAUUUUUGACUCACGAACUUCUAAAACUUAUCAUGAGAGGAUUGAAUUUCCUCUAAAUUGCUCUAAUUCAGUUAAUUUACCCCAAACAUGCCCGGAGAAUUACCCGUCGGUGUUCCAGCCCCAAGAAUCAUCGGCUAGAACUUGCCCAGAUUACUUCCGGUGGAUCCACCAAGAUUUAAAGCAAUGGAAGAGUUCGGGGAUUACAGAAGACAUGAUCGAAAGGGGAAAACCCAGUGCGGAUUUCAGGCUCGUCAUUGUCAACGGAAAGGCCUAUGUGGAGAAGUACAACAAGCCAUAUCAAACCAGGGAUGUAUUUACAAUAUGGGGCAUUUUGCAGCUUCUAAGGUUGUACCCUGGAAAGGUACCAGACUUGGACCUUUUGUUCUAUAGUGGAGACAAGACUAUGAUCAUGAAAAGAGACUACAAAGGACUCAAUGCUACAUCACCACCGCCGGCUUUUCAUUACUGUGGAGAGAAAGCAGCACUGGACAUUGUGUUCCCUGAUUGGACCUUCUGGGGAUGGUAAAUUCUGCUACAUAUUGCCUAAAUUCACACGACGUUAAUGGAGAAAAAAAUGCCUAGUGUUUAUAACUUUUUACUGCAAUUAUCUAGUUAAUCAUAUUUACUUUGCUUUGUCCUGGCAGGGCGGAGGUGAAUAUAAAGCCAUGGGAGGAGACGUUGAGAGCAAUAAAGAAAGGGAGGGAGAGGAUAAAGUGGGAAAAGAGGGAACCUUAUGCCUACUGGAAGGGUAACCCAUACGUUGCUAAAGAUCGGGUAGAUCUUUUGAAAUGCAACCUUUCAGAUAAAAACGACUGGAAUGUUCGGAUUUAUAAGCAGGUGCUUCCUGAAUUAUUAUGUUUCUUCUUUGUGUCAUUGAUGGGCAGGGCUUUUAUAAAUGGAUUGAAAUCAUAAGAAACUUAGGCAACGCCAAGCCAAAUGGGUAACUCUGUGUUUGUAACUCUAAUUGGUUAUUAAUUCAGGAUUGGGGCAAAGAAAGUCAACAAGGGUUCAAGCAUUCGAAAUUGGAAGAUCAAUGUACCCAUAGGUAUACAUAUGCAAAACCCUUUUUUUCUCCUCCUUAUGGAAGGUUUUUAAAUUUUCAAUUUUAAGCAACUUUCAGUCUAAUGAGAUUUUUCAACUUUGCUGCGGUACAAUCUAUAUAAAGAUAUAAAAUCUAUAUAGAAGGAGCAACUUGGUCUGUAAGUGAGAAAUACAUACUGGCAUGUGAUAGCAUGACGUUGUUGAUAAAGCCUAAAUACUAUGAUUUCUUCUCGAGAAGUAUGGUGUCGAUGCAGCAUUACUGGCCUAUCCGUCGCAAAAACAAAUGCAGGGAUCUUAAGUUUGCAGUUGAAUGGGGCAAUAAUCACCCUCACGAGGUACAUAUCCUCAACAAAUGAAAACAUGGAUUGCAAUGAAUUCAAUCAUGUAUAUCUAUCUCUUAAGAAAAUAUAUAAUGUACCUUCAAUUUCGCUUUAUAAACUUGCAGGCACAGGCCAUAGGGAAAGCAGGAAGCAAAUUUAUCGAAGAGACUCUGACAAUGCGAAAUGUGUAUGACUACAUGUUUCAUUUGUUGAACGAAUACUCCAAACUCUUGAAGUUUAAACCAACAGUCCCUUCAAAAGCCCACAGGGUCUGUGCCGAAUCCGUAGCAUGCUUGCAGAAAGGUUUAUGGAAGGAUUUCAUGGUGCAGUCAAUGGUGAAGUCUCCUAGUCAUGAACUUCCAUGUGCAUUGCCUCCCCCAUAUGAACCUCAAGCCAUUCAAGCUUCUCUCGACAGAGAAGACAAAAUAACAAGGCAAGUGGAGACGUGGGAGACAGAAUAUUGGAAAAAAACUAAACCAUAAGAAUCAAUAGAAAGCUAGAAACCUCUCUUUCUCGUUUUUUUCUUUCAUCAACAU
rnacentral:lncRNA from 1 species